UUCAGACACAUCAGCUCUGUGUCGUGGAAAGAAGAGUUGUUAGUGAAUAUGAGCGACUCACUAAUAAUGCUUUUAGUUAUCCAGUUGAGCCUGUGUGAUAAUGUGAUGCCUUCCAGAGAUGACCCGCCAUGAUGAGGUUUCUAACUGGAGAUGUUGCAGUGAUCGUGUUAAUUUCGGCGCUAAGGCAGUGAAGUUUUGGAAGGAUUGUGAAGAUGAUUCACCGAGGAAGAGGAGGCAAAGCAGAAAGGUGCAGGUGUACCAGUGGCAAGAACCAAACUUGAAGAUGACACGUGGUUCCUGCAGACACUAAUGGAUGGACCCAAGACCAGUUUGGAUGAAUUGGUCGGUGUGAUGCUUAAUAAAAUCAGAAGCAGAAUGUUGGAAUAAAUGAAAACAAAUUUAUUUAACCAAUGUAUAAGGUAAAGCCAGAGAUGCCGACGGUCCAGCUGCUUUUACUCAGACUGGGUUGAACUUGUAGGAUUUCUUCUUUAAAUUUUCUAGAUAUAUCUUCUCCUCGAGGAGAUUUUCACGAUCCUGUGGAAGAGAUAAUGUGAAGCCUCAGUUAUGAAGUAUAAAGAAGAUUUUAAUUUUAUGGAAGAAAAUUAGUAGUUUUGUAAUUGUUUUUGUGGACCCAAUUAUGUGAAAAUGUAUAAAAUAAAAUGUUUUUUUUUUCUAUUAAACAAAUGUCAGCCAUGAAUUUAUACCCACAAUUAAAGAAAUGUAACUGAAA